GGGGGGGGGGGGGGGGAUGACUCCGUGACUCCAAAGCCGAUAUAUCUGCCACAUUACUCAAGCUGACAACACAUGUUCCAUUGAUUCUGACAAGACAAUGCAUUGAGAAACACAAAAAUUGUGUCCAUAUUAAGACAGAUGUAAAGAAAGAGUUGAAAGUUUCAGUUGAAAGUUACAACAAAAAAGAAGAAGAAGAAAAAAAAGAAGAAAGAAUUGCAAUGAUUAAAUCUCUAUGUUUAUAAUGAAUGUGUCUUUCAUGAUCUUGUAUGUGAUGUUCAUGAAUUUUUUUUACAUUACCUGACUUACAGUGUAAUAUCACCCCCCCCCCCCCCCCCCCCCCCCCAUCCUUUAUGGCUUUACUUACAAUAAAACUACAUAUGCAGAGUGAAUUUAAAACAUGAGAGAUAUAUCAUAUGUUGUAAUUGCCUGCUGAAUUUGAUAGAAAGCAAAAACGCUUUGAACACACGAUUCUUGUACAUGGCUACAAUAAAUGUACUAUUUAUUGGUGGAAGGUAAUGGUGGAAGAUGUUUUCAAAAUAACCCCUCUCCCUCCAAUAUUGGGUCAAAGUACAACAAACAAUAAUUUUUACCCUUCAUUAAUGCUUAUGCAUGACAUGUGCAAUGAUAUUAUUACGUUAUCUGAAGAUUUUAACUCUACAAAACCGACAUUAUCACCCCCCCCUUUUUUUUCUCUUGCAUACCCCCCCCCCCCCCCCCCCAAUAUACCACUAAAUUUCAUUUGCAACCAAAUUCCCUUUAACAUGUAUUAGAAAUUGAUAGGUUCUACACAUGUAUCAAAUAUGAUGUCUAUUGAAGCGUUUCUUGGGCAACUAUACCUGUUUCAGUGCAAAUAGGUGAAAUUAGGUAAAAUUUCAGCAUUUCCUUCAUUUUGAAAUUUUGAUAUUUUAUUGCACUGUGUAUUAAAUUUUGAUUGCUUAUGUGUUAUUAAUUCCUAUUUGUCUCUGCAAUAUCAUGAAAUAGGUAUCAUUAAAUUGCAAGACAUGGGUUUUGCAAUAAACCAAAAAGAAA